CGUAGGAAGUGGGGCGGGACGUACCGUCACGUCCGUUUCGGGGCCGGCGUACAGGUGCUGCAUGGCUGUCGUCAGCUCGUGCUGUGAAGUGUUGGGUUAAGUCCCGCAACGAGCGCCAACCCCUGCUAUCUGUUGCCAGCAAGUGAUGGUUGGGGACUCAGAUGGAACUGCCGGUGACAAACCGGAGGAAGGUGGGGACGACGUCAAGUCAUCAUGGCCCUUAUGUCCUGGGCUACACACGUGCUACAAUGGCCGGUACAGAGCGCAGCGAAGCCGCGAGGCAAAGCGAAUCGCAAAAAGCCGGUCUCAGUACGGAUUGGAGUCUGAAACCCGACUCCAUGAAGUUGGAAUCGCUAGUAAUCGCGCAUCAGCAUGGCGCGGUGAAUACGUUCCCGGGCCUU
rnacentral:rRNA from 1 species